UGAUAGUAUUUAUCGAAAUGUCGCUUUGUUUAAUACGGUUGUCUGCGGCUCUGCUGCUUUUCGCUUUGGGCGUCACUGCCAACCAAACAGUUGAUUGGUGGGAGGCCGCCACACUUUAUCAGAUUUAUCCGCGUUCCUUUAUGGACAGCGAUGGCGAUGGUAUAGGCGAUUUGAAUGGCAUCAUCUCGCGGCUGGCAUAUCUUAAGGAAAUUGGUGUAACAGCAACCUGGAUAUCACCUAUAUAUGAUUCACCAAUGGCUGAUAUGGGCUAUGACAUCCGGAAUUUUACGAAAAUUUCUCCAAUUUUUGGUACAAUGGAGGAUUUCGAUAAUAUGUUGGCCAAGGCGCAUGAAUUGGGCUUAAAGCUGAUCCUAGAUUUUGUGCCAAAUCAUUCAAGCGAUGAGUGUGAGUGGUUUCAGAAAUCGGUUAGUCGCGAAGAAGGCUACGAUGAUUGGUAUGUGUGGUCUGAUGGCAAAAUUGACCCAAAGACGGGUGAGCGUUCAGUACCAAGCAAUUGGACGUCAGCUUUCGGUGGUUCCGCAUGGACAUGGGUUGAAGAACGACAACAGUACUAUCUGCACCAGUUUCACGUGAAGCAACCUGAUUUUAACUUCACUAAUCCCGCGGUGCGUGAGCGUAUGUUGGAAGUGAUGAAAUUUUGGCUCGAUCGUGGUGUAGAUGGUUUCCGCAUGGAUGCCACGAACUUCUUAAUUGAAAAACGUUUCGAUAAUGGCACAUUUCCAGAUAAUCCUAUCAGGCCUGGAACGGUUGACACUUUAAUGGGCAACUACACCCUAGAUCAAUGGGGAAGUACAGAAAUUAUAUACGAGUGGCGCGCAUUCCUAGAUGAAUAUCUGAAACUUAAUGGUGGAGAUACACGAGUUAUGGUUAUCGAGGCGUAUUCCCCUGUUGACGUUCUUAGUAAAUAUAUCUCUAAUGGCACCAACGUCGGCGGGCAGAUGCCAAUGAAUUUUAAUUUUGUGAGACUGCGCGAAAACUCCACAGCGGAGACCAUUGAAACACAAGCUAACGCGUGGAUGGAUGUCAUUUGGGUCAAACAUAAAAUGGCGAAUUGGGUGGCAAACAAUCAUGACAACCGUCGCUUACCAACACGUAUGGGUCAGACCAAAGUGGAUGCAAUGGCUAUGAUCAUACAUGCACUGCCCGGUACAUCGGUUACUUAUUACGGCGAAGAGAUCGGAAUGCCUGAUUAUGCCGCCGCUUGCACCGGAAACUCUUGCGACUUCCGUGACCCCGAACGGACACCAAUGCAGUGGGAUUCUUCGAAAAACGCCGGUUUCAGCACAGGCAACUCAACUUGGCUGGCCGUCAAUCCCAACUAUAAGGACCUAAAUGUACAAGUUCAAGAAGGCGUGGCGCGUAGCAGCUUACAGAUAUUCAAGGGCAUGACGGCGCUUAAGAAAACGGGUGCCUUCAAGGCAUUCAAGGAAGAGGGCGGCUUCUCUUAUAAAGCUCUGUCAGAGCAGGUUUUCCAGGUUGUUAGAACCGCGGUCGAUCGCGAGGAAUAUCGUGUGCUUGCCAAUAUAGGCAACCAAACAGAGCAUUUCGAUGGUUUGACUAACAAAACAAUGGAGUACGUGUUGCUUAACUCUUAUUCACCAAACAGCUACGGUGACAAGGUUGAUUUAAGCGGAACAAUUUAUUUGCAGCCUUAUGAGGCAGUCGUUCUAGGAUGGUCGAGUGGCGAUAAUUGAACCAAAACUAAAAAAAGUCAACACUUUGGCCAUUUUAAAAAUGGCGGAAAAGUUAGACAUCAUUAAUGAAUACAUAAAACAUAUAUAUUCAAAAUCCGUAAGCGCUCGUGAACCCUUUCUGAGCUGAUGUGACGCUGUAUGUAACUAAUUUCGUUGUUACCAAAUAGUGGUUAGCACUUUUUAAUAAUUUUAUUGUGCGAAGGAUUUCACAUUUACUAAGACGGGACUAAAAAACUGAACCUCAUUUUUUAAAAAGCUGUAUGUUCGGACUUGCAGGAGGGGGUUUCAGUUAGAGAGAUUGCUCGAAAGCAUAAAAUUUCAAUUGGUGUCAUCAGUAAAAUAAAAAAAAACAAACAACAACAAAAAAAACAAUAUUAACACACCACCAAAAAAAUUUAGGCAGACCUAAAAAGUCACUCCUGAAACAGAAAGGACUUUACGGCGUUUUAUCAUGACUGAUGCAGCUAAAAACGCGGAGGAAGCUAAGGAAGUGUUAUUGUCGUCUUUAGGCACUAGAGCAUGCAACAAUACCAUUCGAACUUCGUUGAAAAGAUUUAAAAUGCGUGCAAGAGCAAUGAUUAAAACCGUACAUGUCAGCGAAGAACAAAGCGGCUAGAAUGAAAUUUGCGAAAGAGCACAAAAACUGGAGAAGCGAACAGUUGAAACUAGUAAUUUGGUCUGACGAAACGAAAAUUGAUCAUAUUAAUUUAUAUAGACGCAUUUGGACAUGGUAUGACAAGCAAUGCGGUCCCACGGAUAGGAAUAUGCUGCGCACACUUAAAUUCGGAGGUGGUUCACUUAUGAUGUGGGGUUGUUUCUGUGGCAGAAAGGUAAGAAAACUGCGUCAAAUUAACGGAAUAAUAGAGGCUACGGACUAUAUUAGCAUUCUAGAGGAUUCACUUAUCCCUAGCUUCGAGAUUUUUGGAUGUGAACCUGGUGCUUUGUUACACAUGUAAGACAAUGACCCUAAACAUACCGCCCGUAUUAAAAAAUCUUUGUUGAAAAAUAACGGAAUUCGGGUGGUGGAGUGGCCAGCUCAGUCACCCGAUAUGAAUCCUAUUGAAAAUUUAUAGGCGAUUGUUAAAAAACGGUUAAUUGUUCAAAGAGAAACACCAAAACCCAUAGAUGAACUCUGGACUCAAGUUGAACGAGUUUGGAACAGCUUUUUUCCGGAAAUUAACUCUAAAUCUGACCGUAUUAAAGUCGUAAAAGUCACUUUACCUCUAAGUUUAAAUAAUGUUCACAUGAAUUGUAUUACUUUAUAUCUACUAUAGCCACAAGAGAUUAUUAAAUGAACUGCUAGUUGAUGUUAAAAA
rnacentral:misc_RNA from 1 species